rnacentral:rRNA from 1 species
CAGUCGCCACGGUAAUACGGAGGGGGCUAGCGUUGUUCGGAAUUACUGGGCGUAAAGCGCGCGUAGGCGGCUUGGUAAGUUAGAGGUGAAAGCCUGGGGCUCAACCCCAGAAUUGCCUUUAAGACUGCCGAGCUAGUAGGUGAGAGAGGUAAGUGGAAUUCCGAGUGUAGAGGUGAAAUUCGUAGAUAUUCGGAAGAACACCAGUGGCGAAGGCGGCUUACUGGCUCAUUCUAGACGCUGAGGUGCGAAAGCGUGGGGAGCAAACAGGAUUAGAUACCCGCGUAGUCCCUGUCUCUUAUCC